rnacentral:rRNA from 1 species
AGGACGAACGCUGGCGGCGUGCUUAACACAUGCAAGUCGAGCGAUGAAGCUCUUCGGAAGUGGAUUAGCGGCGGACGGGUGAGUAACACGUGGGUAACCUGCCUCAUAGAGGGGAAUAGCCUUCCGAAAGGAAGAUUAAUACCGCAUAAGAUUGUAAUAUCGCAUGAUAUAGCAAUUAGAGGAGUAAUCCGCUAUGAGAUGGACCCGCGUCGCAUUAGCUAGUUGGUGAGGUAACGGCUCACCAAGGCGACGAUGCGUAGCCGACCUGAGAGGGUGAUCGGCCACAUUGGGACUGAGACACGGCCCAGACUCCUACGGGAGGCAGCAGUGGGAAUAUUGCACAAUGGGGGGAAACCCUGAUGCAGCAAACCGCCGCGUGAGUGAUGACGGUCUUCGGAUUGUAAAGCUCUGUCUUCAGGGACGAUAAUGACGGUACCUGAGGAGGAAGCCACGGCUAACUGCGUGCCAGCAGCCGC